rnacentral:rRNA from 1 species
CUUCUUUUUCUUUUAAUCUUUCCAUUAAUGUUCUAGUGUAAGGUUAACGUUUUGGUUUGUAGAAUUUUCUUGAUUAGUUACUAAAGGGGGUUCAUUUUCGUUAAUUGCCAUUAGUUUAUCUAAUGUGGCUUAGACUUACAUUUUGGAGAAAAGUUAUUUCUUGUUACUAGUUCUAGCAUAAUAUCUUCCAUAUUUUUAUGGAAUUACUCAAUAUUGGGGAGGGGUUUUAGGUGGUUUGAGGAAUUAGAAAAAGAAAAUGUUAAGCUUUGACGCUUUUGUUUAAGGUGGCUGCUUUUAGGCCCACUAAUCAUUUUAUUUUUAAUGUAUUACCCUGUGAUAAAGGUUGUAUCCUGUUUCAAAUAAGCUGUGCCUUAUUUGAAUAGCUCUUAAGUUUUGUUAAGGUUUAGAAGUACUAAAACAAACUUAAGGUUGAACUUAUAUUCUUUUCUUGAGUAACCAGCUAUUUCUGAGUGCGGUAGGUUUAUCACCUCUACUUGGAAAUCUUCCCACUCUAUUGCAACAGAGACGGGUUGGCUCUUAUGGCUGUUUCGAAGUAGCUCACAUCAGUUUCGGGGGGUUAAACUUAAAAUUCGUUUUGCUUAGUUAAACUAGCUAGACCAUGAUGC